ACGGAAGGCAGCAGUGGGGAAUAUUGGGCAAUGGGCGAAAGCCUGACCCAGCAACGCCGCGUGGAGGAAGAAGGUUUUCGGAUUGUAAACUCCUGUCCUUGGUGAAGAGCAGAAGACGGUAGCCAAGGAGGAAGCCCCGGCUAACUACGUGCCAGCAGCCGCGGUAAUACGUAGGGGGCAAGCGUUGUCCGGAAUGAUUGGGCGUAAAGGGCGCGUAGGCGGCCUGGUAAGUCUGAAGUGAAAGUCCUGGCUUCAAGUUGGGAAUUGCUUUGGAUACUGUCGGGCUUGAGUGCAGGAGAGGUUAGUGGAAUUCCCAGUGUAGCGGUGAAAUGCGUAGAGAUUGGGAGGAACACCAGUGGCGAAGGCGACUAACUGGACUGUAACUGACGCUGAGGCGCGAAAGUGUGGGGAGCAAACAGGAUUAGAUACCCUGGUA
rnacentral:rRNA from 1 species